AAAAUUUAAAUUUAAGAUACUAAAAUAGUAAAUAAUUAUUUAUUGAAACUUAAAUAAUUUGGCGGUAUUUUAGUUCAUUUAGAGGAAUCUGUUUAAUAAUUGAUAAUCCACGAAUAAAUUUACUUAAUUUAUAAUUUUGUAUAUCGUUGUUAAAAAAAUAUUUUUUAAUAAAAUUAAUAUUUAAAAAUUAAUAUUUGAAAUUAAAUCAGAUCAAGAUGCAGAUUAUAAUUAAGAUUAUAAUGGAUUACAAUAAAUUUAUUUAAAUGGAUUUUAAUUUGUAAAAAUUAAUUAAAAGUGGAUUUAAAUGUAAUUUUAUUUAAUUUAUUAAAAUGAUUUAAAAUUAAAAUAUGU
rnacentral:rRNA from 1 species